UGGUCUAGUGGUUAGAACGCUGGCCUUGUAAUCCUGGGGUCUCGGGUUCGAUUCCCGG
rfam:Zootermopsis nevadensis contig8907, whole genome shotgun sequence.